AGCGAACGCUGGCGGCAGGCCUAACACAUGCAAGUCGAACGCCCCUUCGGGGGAGUGGCGGACGGGUGAGUAACGCGUGGGAAUGUGCCCUUUGGUACGGAACAACUAAGGGAAACUUCAGCUAAUACCGUAUGUGCCCUACGGGGGAAAGAUUUAUCGCCAUUGGAGCAGCCCGCGUUGGAUUAGGUAGUUGGUGGGGUAAUGGCCCACCAAGCCGACGAUCCAUAGCUGGUCUGAGAGGAUGAUCAGCCACACUGGGACUGAGACACGGCCCAGACUCCUACGGGAGGCAGCAGUGGGGAAUCUUGCGCAAUGGGCGAAAGCCUGACGCAGCCAUGCCGCGUGAAUGAUGAAGGUCUUAGGAUUGUAAAAUUCUUUCACCGGGGAAGAUAAUGACGGUACCCGGAGAAGAAGCCCCGGCUAACUUCGUG
rnacentral:rRNA from 1 species